rnacentral:lncRNA from 1 species
CCCGUUCUGUCCCCGUCCCCGUUCUUGUUGAUGUUAGUGUUAAGUUUAGUUUUAGUGGUAGGAGUAGGUUGUUGUUUGUAUUUUAGAGUUAGGUAGGGGUUCUUGUUGUUAUGUUAGUGUUAGGAGUAGGUUGUUGUUGUUGUUGUUACUUUAGAGUUAGGCGUAGGUUGCUGUUCUUACUUUAGUGUUAGGCAUAGGUUAGUGUUGUGUUGGUACUUUUGAGUUAGGCGUAGGUUCCCCCUCUCGACUGGAAGCGCACAGUGCUCACUCGAGUGUCGGGGAGCAGAGUGUGAGUGGCUGUGCCAUUCAGGUGGGGCUCGGCAGAGCAGCGGAUAACUGUGUCCCGAGGUUCCUGCGCGGCCAUUGCAAGGUGGGCUUUCUGCGUGCCUUAUUGCUGCGGUUGGCGUUGUACGGCACAGCAGCAGCACGGCCGUGAGUGCAUACGCGAGAAAAGAAAGCAGCCUCCUUGAGAGCAGCAGAGCAGCAGGCUGUGUGCGCUAUGGCUGCUGAAGUGCAUGGUUUCUCGCCUCCGGAGAUCCUGAGCCCACGCUGCUGGAGAACGUGCUGCGCUACGGCCUCUUCU